rnacentral:misc_RNA from 1 species
AGACUGAAUUAGCAAAGACCCAGGUAACUAUGGACAUUUCUGGCAAUCUUUGGAAGAUUCUGGCACAACCACUCCUUGGGAUGAGAUGCUUAUGGACAUUAAAAUCAUUAUUAGUUUAUACCAUUGGGCUAAUAGUAGCUCAGUGGUUGAGAGCCUGACUCGUACUGUAGAAAGGGAUUCAAUAAUCUUGAUAUGCACCUCCUCCUUCUGCUGCUCAAAAGCAUCAGAAGGUUAUUUAGAAUAAAAAUGAGAUUAUAUUAAGAAAAUUGAUUAUAUGAUUGAUUGAACAAAGUAACUUUAU